AUACGGAGGGUGCAAGCGUUACUCGGAAUUACUGGGCGUAAAGGACGCGUAGGCGGUUUAGAAAGUCAGAUGUGAAAGCCUAUGGCUUAACCAUAGAACUGCAUCUGAAACUCCUAGACUAGAGUGAGCGAGAGGUCAGUGGAAUUAGUGGUGUAGGGGUAAAAUCCGUAGAGAUCACUAGGAAUACUCAUAGCGAAGGCGACUGACUGGAACUUUACUGACGCUGAGGCGUGAAAGCGUGGGGAGCAAACAGGAUUAGAAACCCCUGUAGUCC
rnacentral:rRNA from 1 species